rnacentral:rRNA from 1 species
AACGAACGCUGGCGGCAGGCCUAACACAUGCAAGUCGAACGCCGUAGCAAUACGGAGUGGCAGACGGGUGAGUAACGCGUGGGAACAUACCCUCCGGUUCGGAAUAACUCAGGGAAACUUGAGCUAAUACCGGAUACGUCCAAGGUUUUAAUCGGCCUUGGAGAAAGAUUUAUCGCUGGAGGAUUGGCCCGCGUCUGAUUAGCUUGUUGGUGAGGUAAUGGCUCACCAAGGCGACGAUCAGUAGCUGGUCUGAGAGGAUGAUCAGCCACAUUGGGACUGAGACACGGCCCAAACCU